rnacentral:rRNA from 1 species
GACGAACGCUGGCGGCGUGCUUAACACAUGCAAGUCGAACGGAAAUGCCCUGCUUUUGUUGGUUUCUCGAGUGGCGAACGGGUGAGUAACACGUGAGUAACCUGCCCUUUACUUUUGUAUAACUUCAGGAAACUGGGGCUAAUACCGGAUAUGAGCUCCUGCUGCAUGGUGGUGGUUGGAAAGUUUCGGCGGUUUGGGAUGGACUCGCGGCUUAUCAGCUUGUUGGUGGGUUAGUGGCUUACCAAGGCUUUGACGGGUAGCCGGCCUGAGAGGGUGACCGGGGACAUGGGGACUGAGAGACGGACAAGAAGGAUACGGGAGGCAGAAGGGGGGAAUAUUGCAGAAGGGGAGGAAGCCAGAGGCAGCAACGCCGGGUGAGGGAUGAAGGGUUAAGGGUGAUAAACAGAUGUGGAAGGAGACGAAGCGGGAGUGACGGUAAUGGGUAAAGAAGCAACGGCUAACUACGUG